AAACCUUCGGUUUGACGAUUUAUUGUCUCGCCGGCGUUGGCGGUUUUGGGGAACGUGGGGGUUAACCCUCCCGCGCCAUUCCGUUUAAACACUGACAGCGGUCGAGUUCUUUAACCUCUAUCGAUUAGUAGAAAUAUUUAUCGUUUAAGGAUUUAGAUCUCCCGCAAUACAAAAUAAGGCUAACACCCAUCAA
rnacentral:misc_RNA from 1 species